rnacentral:rRNA from 1 species
GUGACCAAAAUAUAUCCAGGUGAAAACUUAAACAUAAGCUAUUUGAGCCCUUAUCUGAAGGCAUCGGGUUCUAAUUACAGUAACGGAGUAAAUUUUGCUAUUGGCGGUUCAAGAACACUACCACGGGACGUUCUUUUUGCAUUGCAUGUACAGGUGCAGGAAUUUUUGUUCUUUAAAGACAGGUCCCUGGAACUGAUCAAUCAAGGCCAGGAAGCUUCAAUUGAUGCACAAGGGUUUCAAAAUGCUCUAUAUACCAUAGACAUAGGACAGAAUGAUAUUAAUGCUCUUCUGUCCAACUUGCCUUACGACCAAGUAGUGGCGAAGUUCCCUCCAAUACUUGCCGAGAUUAAGUAUGCUGUUCAGAUUCUGUAUGACAACGGGAGUCGGAACUUCUGGAUACAUGGAACAGGGGCUCUCGGUUGCCUGCCUCAGAAGCUCUCUAUUCCACGCAAAAAUUACAGUGAUCUUGAUCAGAAUGGCUGCCUGAAGACAUACAACAGAGCUGCGGUCGCGUUCAACGCAGCGCUAGGCAGCCUCUGCGAUCAGCUGAAUGUACAGCUGAAAGACGCGACCGUUGUUUACACCGAUCUUUUUGCUAUCAAGUAUGACCUUGUGGCCAACCACACCAAAUACCGUUUUGACAGGCCAUUGAUGACGUGUUGUGGGUACGGAGGGCCACCAUACAACUAUGAUUUGAGAAGGAGCUGCCAGUCUCCAAAUGCAACGGUCUGCACUGACGGCUCAAAGUUCGUUAGUUGGGAUGGCGUGCACCUCACCGAGGCCGCUAAUGCCGUCGCGGCUGCAGCCAUACUGAGCUCCGCAUAUUCCAGACCAAAGCUCAAGUUUGAUCAGUUCUGCAGAGCCUGA